rnacentral:rRNA from 1 species
AUAAAAGCUACCCCGGGGAUAACAGGCUUAUCUUGCCCAAGAGUUCACAUCGACGGCAAGGUUUGGCACCUCGAUGUCGGCUCGUCGCAUCCUGGGGCUGGAGCAGGUCCCAAGGGUCCGGCUGUUCGCCGGUUAAAGCGGUACGCGAGCUGGGUUCAGACCGUCGUGAGACAGGUCGGUCUCUAUCCGUCGUGGGCGUCUGGAGAUUUGAGAGGAGCUCUCUCUAGUACGAGAGGACCGAGAGGGACAGACCUCUGGUGUGCCAGUUGUCCCGCCCGGGGCAUAGCUGGGUAGCUACGUCUGGUGAGGAUAAGCGCUGAAAGCAUCUAAGUGCGAAGCCAACCUCAAGAUAAGAUCUCCCAUCCUCCCCUUCUGGGGAAGGAGUAAGACCGCAAGUAGACUACUUGUUUGAUAGGCGGUGGGUGUAAGGGCAGUAAUGUUCUGAGCUUAACCGUACUAAUGGUCGAGGGCUUGACCUG